CAUUGCUGGGUAGCUAUGUGCGGACCAGGAGAAGCGCUGAAAGCAUCUAAGUGCGAAACCGGCCCCAAGACUAGGCUUCCCGAUCGAAAGAUCCUCAAGGCCACUCUGAGAUGACGAGUUUGAUAGGCCGCAGGUGCAAGCGCAGUAAUGCGUUCAGCCGAGCGGUACUAAUCGGCCGUGCGGCUUCCUCAC
rnacentral:rRNA from 1 species